rnacentral:lncRNA from 1 species
AAAUACUAUUAAUAAAAGGAAAAAAGUUAGCAAAGAGUCCAGGAGAAAGUAACUUAAUACUUAAAGGUGUGCACACACACAAGAAAUUGGGCCAAUUCACUCCACCAAGGAAGGACGCAGGGUUGAGGAGUAAGAGUGGGUCUCAUAAAUAACUCUGAGCAAACUCUCCUCUCCAGCCUUAGUUUCAGCCUCAAGGAAACCAGAAAACAAAAGCCAACUCUCGCCUUUCCAGGAGGCACAGAGCAAGAGGCAGAAGAGAAGCUGAGUUCCGGGAGGCCUGGAUCCGACUGCUGACCGGCUGUGCUCCGUUACAGGAUUCCGAGGCACCAACGGCAGGUGCUCGCCUCCUCCACUGGGAGGAGACGGGCCUUCCAGCGUGAGCAGGGGUUUGCACACACGCUUCGCCCUGUUUAUGUCCCUCACUUUUACAAAUACUUUCUUCCCAAUAAUGGAUCCCAAUCUACAGUGGGGCCCCGAUUCGCUUCUUAGAAGAGGAGCUGCCUGGAGCUUUACUAAGUGGCCUGAGAGAACUGCCGCAGAGAAAGUACAAGGUCUGCAAUUAAUUUCUGGAAGCAGACAUCACUUUCAAUAUCUGUGCUCAUUCUCGGGACCCAGGUCUGCACCACUGAAGACUUUGCUGGAACCCGACUUCCUAUCUGUGAUGCUCACAAUUCAGCCACCUUCCAUCCUCCCUCUUUUCAUCGAUUUGAUGGCAGAGCCUUAUUAGUUAUGCAUCCAAACGAACCCUGCCACUUUCGAG